rnacentral:rRNA from 1 species
GUAUCUUGACCGUGCAAAGGUAGCAUAAUCAUUUGUUCUUUAAUUGAGGACUAGUAUGAAAGGCAAAACGAAAGCUUAACUGUCUCCUUUUUUAAAAAAGAAAUUCGUAUUUUUGUGAAGAAACAAAAAUAAAAACGCAAGACGAGAAGACCCUGUCGAGCUUAAGAAAAUUUUUAUAAGAAUUUAAAAUAGUUAAAAAUACUAAAAACUAAAAUAAAAAUAUCUUUGGUUGGGGCAACCACGAAGAAAAAAAAACCUUCGUUCUAAAAAAGAAAUUUACAAAUAAAAUAUUUUUUAAAAACUAUAAGAUCCAGUACAUUCUGAUCAAAGAAAAAAGUUACCGCAGGGAUAACAGCGUUAUUCUCUUUAAGAGUCCAUAUUGACAAGAGAGUUUGCGACCUCGAUGUUGGACCGGGACACCCAAGAGGUGCAACAGCCUCUAAAGGUA